rnacentral:rRNA from 1 species
AUUGAGCGCUGGCGGCAGGCUUAACACAUGCAAGUCGAGCGGGGUGAUGGUGCUUGCACUAUCACUUAGCGGCGGACGGGUGAGUAAUGCUUAGGAAUCUGCCUAUUAGUGGGGGACAACAUCUCGAAAGGGAUGCUAAUACCGCAUACGUCCUACGGGAGAAAGCAGGGGAUGACUUCUGACCUUGCGCUAAUAGAUGAGCCGAAGUCGGAUUAGCUGGUUGGUGGGGUAAGGGCCGACCAAGGCGACGAUCUGUAGCGGGUCUGAGAGGAUGAUCCGCCACACUGGGACUGAGACACGGCCCAGACUCCUACGGGAGGCAGCAGUGGGGAAUAUUGGACAAUGGGGGGAACCCUGAUCCAGCCAUGCCGCGUGUGUGAAGAAGGCCUUAUGGUUGUAAAGCACUUUAAGCGAGGAGGAGGCUCUUUUGGUUAAUACCCAAGAUGAGUGGACGUUACUCGCAGAAUAAGCACCGGCUAACUCUGUGCCAGCCGCCGCCGUAA